rnacentral:tRNA from 1 species
GGGAAGUUAAUCUAAAUUAAAGACUAUUGAUUUCGACUCAAUAAAUUAUGAUUAAUUAUCAUAACUCCCCU